GAGUGAAGGUACUGUAUGUGUGGGAGGAGCUUAGGAUUUUGUCAACUUCAGUGGAAGAAAUCAAAAAGACAACACUGACUUUCUUUCAUACAGAUCCUGAUAGAAGUCUCAACUCAAAAGAAACAGAAGCAUGUUACUCAUCUCAUCCAUUUUCAUUUUAAUCCUCAGUUACUGUGAAUCUAAUGGAAAUGUCAUCAGACCAAACCAGCCGUCUGUAGUUUUAACUGAAGGAAGCAGCACCACUCUGUCCUGUUCAUAUGAUGGAUCAGCUUACAGUCUUCACUGGUAUCGACAGAAGCCUGGAUCAAAACCAGAGUUUCUGCUGCUGAUUGCUGAGUCUUCCAAGUAUGUCACCAAAGCUGACCAACCUCAUCCACAUAUGUCCAUCAGACUCCAUGAUAAUAAAAGUGUGGAUCUGGAGAUCUCCUCUGCUGCUGUAUCAGACUCUGCAGUGUAUUACUGUGCCCUGGAGCCCACAGUGACAGGAAACCCCUCUACACUGUACAAAAACCUUCUUAUUAUCUGCCUGAUGAACAGUCAUAUUUCUCUACCAUGA